rnacentral:rRNA from 1 species
GUGGGGAAUCUUGCGCAAUGGGCGAAAGCCUGACGCAGCCAUGCCGCGUGAAUGAUGAAGGUCUUAGGAUUGUAAAAUUCAUUCACCGGGGACGAUAAUGACGGUACCCGGAGAAGAAGCUCCGGCUAACUUCGUGCCAGCAGCCGCGGUAAUACGAAGGGGGCUAGCGUUGCUCGGAAUUACUGGGCGUAAAGGGCGCGUAGGCGGACAGCUUAGUCAGAGGUGAAAGCCCAGGGCUCAACCUUGGAAUUGCCUUUGAUACUGGCUGUCUUGAGUUUGGGAGAGGUGAGUGGAACUCCGAGUGUAGAGGUGAAAUUCGUAGAUAUUCGGAAGAACACCAGUGGCGAAGGCGACUCACUGGCCCAAUACUGACGCUGAGGCGCGAAAGCGUGGGGAGCAAACAGGAUUAGAUACCCUAGUAGUCC